GCGCCGCACCCGCGAUUCCCCAUCCACCCACACCACCGCACGCUGCCUCCCACACCCCGCGAUUCCCACACCCCGCGCCGCCGUCCUCCUCCUGCGCCGCCGUCCUCCUCCUGCUGACCCCGCCACCGCCGGAGCCCGACCUCGACGAGCCCGACCCCGACGCCUCCCCUCCUCCGACGAGCCCGACCCCGAUGCCUACCCUCCUCCGACGAGCCCGACCACGAUGCCUCCUGCAGAUCCGCGCCGACUCCACGCGCCGCCGUCCUCCUCUACUUCUCCAUCGACUCCUCCUCCGGCCGGCCGGCUUCCGCUGUCGGCUCCUCCCUCUUCCCCAAUGCCUUCCCAUCGCUGCAGUUGAGUCCACCCUCUUCCCCACCUCCUCCGCCGCCUCCCCAACCUCCAGGUUUAGUUUAGUGGUCCACUAUCGAUUUUGCUGCAAUCAACCUACGUUGUUGAGCAUCUACCCAGCAGGACAUCUCAAGAAAAACUUCGUACCACGGAAAAAGAAUGGCAAGAGAAAGAGGAAAUGAGAAUACUACCUACCUUAAUGAAUAUGAAAGAGGGAGAGCAGAAAGAAUUAAGAAAAACAAUAUAGCACUACAAGCUAUAAUUCAAAAGAGAAGGGAGUUGGCUAAAUCAAGCGAGGGAAAUCUCGGGUCUGCUUCUACUCAUCAGGAAACAAGAAAGAGGAAGAGAGUCGAUUGCGCUGGAAGUGAACCAGCUAGACAUGAAUCUGGGUUGCCAAAUCUGUCUAGAUCAACAAGGAGGGGAACAGGGAGUAGUACAAGUACACACGAUGAAGAUGAAGAACUUGUUGCUAAUACAAAUCAUCUAUUCAUGCACGAUUGCGAAAGAAAUGAUGAGCUUGCAGAAAAUGGAGCGCUACAAGCUGUCAUUGAAAAGAAAAAGGAGUUGGCUAACUUAAGCGAGGAAAAUCUUGGGUCUGCCUCUACUCAUCAGGAAACAAGAAAGAGGAAGGAUGAACAAGAGAGUGCAAAUGGCGAAGCUCAGCCGAGUGAUGAGGAAAACAAUUCCUAUGGAAUGAUACCUCCAAGACCUGCAGCUCCUUCACCGCAAGAACACAUG
rnacentral:lncRNA from 1 species